AUGGGCAAGGCGUAUCAAUUAUCAUCAGCUGAACGUCCUGCUCGUCGCUUAUUUCAUAAAAAAAAUUGCAGGACGGCGUGGGGGCAGCGUAGUAUCAGAAGUAUCAGAGAGUGUGGACAGUAGCGUAAGCGCAGGGACCGGAGCGGGGGCGGAGUCGAGCGGGGCGGGGGCGGAGGAGGCGGUGCUCGCGGCGCUGCGCAGACAACUACAGCCGCACUUACUGGCCGCGCUACACGCACACACACAGGCGCGCCCCGCCACACACAAUCAGAUCGGUCGCAGUAUGCCGGAGUACGACGAGGCACCGUUGAACCUGGUCGCAAGCCACGGAGCCGCCGGCGAGACGCAUUGAUCUGUACACGUUGUUGUCUACUCCAUGUCUACUCUAAGACACAAUAUGGCGUCACCCCACACAAUCCUCUACCAUAGACAAAUAUUAUUUUUUCAAACAGUACUCGAAAAUAUCGUUCAUGGCUUUGGCGAUAGCCAGCUAAUUGGUUGUUUCAAAACAAUUCGUUGUAUGUAUGCCUUUUGUAUGAUAAUCCAAAUGCAAUUUUAUACAAUAUAACUUGAGAAUUUUUAAAGAUGAUAUACAUGUAGUUACAUAUUAUAAUAUUUUUAUGAAACUCAAAUGUUCCCAUUCAUUUUAUACCAGUAGUGAGUUAAGGCCAGUGUUUAAUGACAAUAUUAUAAGAUAUUUAAAAUGAGAUAUAUCACGAAGUACUUCAAUUUGAAUUUAACACACAAUUUGUUAUAAAUAAAUUAUUUUUAUACACAUAAAACUUCCUAUUGUCAAGAAAUAUUUUUAAUUCCCACAGAAAUAUAUGGUAUUGUUCAGACAGGUAUAAUUUCAAAUUGUAAGUACUUGUUGAUACUGUUCGCGGUAUCUAUGAACCUUUUAGAUGUUUUCUGAAAUAUGUAUAUCAAUUAAGUAUUAUGUAAGCAGGGCAUUAUUUUUUUAAAGACUUAAAAAUGUAGGCGUUAUACAGAUUAGUGCCUAGUACUUUUAGGGCUAAUUAUCUGUGCAAAUAUAUUCUCUAAUAUCUUUAGAUUGUGAUAAAGCGUGGUAUGUUUGGAUGCACCUUUUAAAUUUUUUAAACAUUAAAAAUUAAUAGUACGUGAUACGGUUUUAGAAAUGUGUCAUUGAUUCAGCUAUGAUAUCUGUUUAAUAUUUAUUAAGGGAUAGGUUACCUACAUUACCUACUGUACAACUAUUAUAUUGCCAGGUAUGAACAGGUAAACAGGCGUAUUAUAAACAAUUUGUUAUGUUUUCAAAGUGAUAACACUCACUUCUGGGAUUAAUACACAAAUAAAACUGAAAACAAAAUUUUCAUGAACGAUGCAGGACUCGAAUCCGCUACCUCUAGCGUUCCUUGCGAGCGCUCUUACCAACUGAGCCAACCGUUGGAGUGGCGUAUCGUUGAUAAAAUCUUGUAUGCUUUGUUGCUAAACAUGUCUGGAUUUGCAAGAGCGACAUCCCAAGUCAAUUUCCUUAUAUGCAAAUAUUGGGGUUGAGCAGGUUAUUAACUGUUAAGUGUCCCGUAAAUGAAGCCCCAACCUGAGAGUUGAACAAAGCAUACAAGAUUUCAUCGACGAUACGUCACUCGAACGGUUGGCACAGUUGGAAAGAGCGUACUACUACUACUAAGGUGUUAUUUAUCUAUUGAAUAUUUAGUGGUACAUUAAUUACGCCUGUUUAACUGGCCUGGCAACUUUACAGUUGUGCUGUAAGUAGAGGUAGGUAUUUCACAAAUUCCCGUGCGAUGUAUUAAAUUUUCUCAAAUAUCAAAUGAAGGAAGCAGAUCGCUGGCGACCACCACGAUUGUAACCACCAAAUAACUGGUGAGGAUAUAUAUUUCUAAAACCGUAUUAUCGCCUAUAAUAAUUUGUUUUCUUUUUUAAAAUAUGAAUAACUGCGAUUAAAUGAGAGUAUUGCAUCAUUUGAUCAUAUCAAUUGAUUUGUGUAUAUUUUUUGGGGAUCAAUCGAAUCGUAUUUGUAAAGAAUUUUCGAUUUGCCGCCUUGCCUAUGCUCUCUCGAUACGAAAUUAUUAUAAACGGUUACCCAUUGCAGUAAGAAAGUAUUCAUUUAGUUAAGUUAUUGUAAAUUUUAUUUUACUUAGGCCUAUCUUUAUACAAUGGCAGUAUACUAAUUUAUUUCUCAUCCCGAUUUCGGUCAGUAUUCGAUAUUAAGUAUUGAAAACUUCGCGAUUGCGUCGAAGCAAUAAUUGUGAAUCUCCAACACGUGUUAACACGUGUUUUUUGUUUAUAUAUUACUCAAGUGAGCAAUAAUUUAUACAUGACACUAGUGAUUUUAUUUUUUUAAAUUAAUAUUAAUAAUGGUUUAUUUGUUGUAAUUUUAUGUUUGCUUGAAUUAUGUGUACAUUGUCCAAAUUAUUUAUGUAGAUGUUUUAACUCGUGCUAAAUGGCUAGUGGCUCUGUUCCCAAUUCAUUUCUUACAUGCAAUUACUUUUGUAAAUUUUGGGCAUAAUAUAUGUGUAUAUAUUUAUAUACAGUAUUACUUUAAUAAGAUUUUUUUUAAAUAAGUUAGUACCUACGUACGUACGCAAAAAGCGCACCCAUUCAAACGCCAUUGUGACUUGGUAUCAUUACAAAAAUAGUCUGUAGUUAUUUCUUGUCAUUUUAAUACAUUUCUGUCAUGUCUCUUCAUUACUCUCGGUGGUUUAAUUGGGAACAUCCAUUUCUAUUGUCUCUAGCCAUCGAGCACGCGUUUUAUAUAAGUCGCCUACGUCCUAUUGUAAGAACAACCUCAACGGUGGUCAGUGUUAUAUUUUAAAGCAUUUAAUCCGAACCGGGGCUGUUUAUUUUGUUUUCAUUUGAUUAGUUUAUCGCCGUCCUUUACUUAACGCCUUUACUUAAUUUAGUUAUAAUUUAUUCGUUGUUCGAACAACCGCGGGCCAGUAAGCUGUCUUUGAGACACUGUGAUAUAACAUAUACACCAUACUUUACUGCAAUUAGUGUGGCAAAUUUACAUCGGGGUUGCUUCGUUAGAAAAAUUUAUCAUUUAACAAAAUUAUUGGGGUUUUUUUUAAAUACAACAAGAGCUUACCAACCACAGUACUAUAUUGUCUUUCUACGAAGCGACCUUUAAGCGAACUAUCCAGUUGCAGCUAUCUUUCAUGUGAAAAAACGUAUUAGAAAGCUUUAAAUUUUGAGAUUAUAAUAUUAUUCUUCGUUAUUGGUAUUAUAAUAUUAUAUAGUUCACGUAGUUAUAGUAUUGCUUUAUAUCCUUCGACAAUAAAAUAUGUCCACGCUCUCUAAACUUAAACGCUAGCUCUCUAGGUUUUGAAAACUACAGCAAUAAAACAUUGAAUCUAUUAAUAAUAAUUAUCUGUUAACUUUACUUAGACGAUAGUGUAAUAAUUAUUUUUAAUAAAAUAUUAAGGGCCUGCUUACCCGGCGUAUAAAACGCAUUCGGUAUUCUGGGCGGGAAACAAGAACCAGGUAAUGCGGUUUGACACAAAAAAAAAACUUUUGAUUAAUACAAAUUUAUCUUUCCGAUUUUAAUAUGAUAAAUAAUGUGAAUAUCGCGUCAAUUAUGAAUAUUUAGUAGUAGUAGUAGUUACGACUCAUACAUAUUAAUUGUUACUCGGUAUCAAAAUAAAUAUGGCUUACACUUGUUAUAAAUUUCCCGCCAUAACCUGUAUCAUCUGACGGAUUGACAGAAACGUCAUGAUUUUGUGCAUGUGGCUGUCUUCGCGGUCACAGAUAACGAAUGAUUAGCCAGAGGGUCGACCUCCACCAAAACUUCUGCUCUCAUAUGCAGGAGUGUCACAGUAUUAUAGUAGGUAUAUUAUUUGUCUAUUCGUUUGUUUUGUACAUUUAUUAGGUUAUAGUUUUAUUGUAUUGUAAUAUUCGGUCGGGUAUCGCGAGGUCACCACAGUUGGCAGUAGUGAUAUUAAUUUUGUGUGAUUAUCAAGCCGCUGUCUUUGUUUACGUAUAUGUCUAAGAGUCUGGUUCACAAUUGUUCGUUUUAUACCGCCAAAAACGACGACAAAGCGAUAGUGUCAAAAUUUGCGCCCAUUUAUAUGUCAUUUUGUUGAUAGACAGCAUUAUAUUUUAAUAGUUCGCAUUUCAAUUAUUAUUAACUCGUAAUAAUAAUGAAUACAAUGAAAAUACUCCCUCUAUGUAUAUACUUACUCAAAGUCAGCGUUACCUAUCGAUCUUCCAAUUGGUUAUUUAUUAUAUUUUAGGUUAAUUUAUAAUCGAGUGUUGAUGAACAAUGUAAUAUUAAGUUACUAACAUACAGGUUGUGUCGUGUGCUGCGAGCUAACAAGCAUGUGUUUUACUUUUGUUUGAUAUUAUUGUGGUACAGGGUACCAAUUCAUUUGUUUUUAAUAAUUUAUGCUGAAAUAUUGGCUCACUGCGGGCCUUUUAAUGUCUGGCUUCAACAUACAUCAUAUAAUAAUCUACAUUAAGACAAUGCCCCUUGAACAUCGUGUCUGUUUGUUUUAAAUAUAAAAAACGAAUGCAAACGUAAUAGGAAUUACGAAGAAGACGUAUUAUUGCUAAAAAUAUAUGGGAAACGAUUAAAAAAAUCGUAUUAAUAACCCUUCCCUGCAUGUCUUUAUUCAUAUAAAUUUAAUAUUAUAUGUUAUAUCAUGGCUGAAAUAAAUAUUUCCUAUUUUUAGAUGACAGUUUCAAAAUAUCUUUAUACUAUAUCCUUUUGUGAGUGACAGACAUGAUGUUCAGGGGUUGUCUGUACAAAACGUAAGUUGCCAGGUGGGCAGUUUUAUUCAUCGUUACCAUUAGAAUGCUAUAAACUAGAAAAUUAUGACUCCGAUGCGUACGUUGAGCCAGUAUAAUUUACGAUGAAAACGUUUUGAGUAUCUCAUUAUAAAUUCCACUCAUUUUUCGUAAAAAAAAAAAAGACUGAAAGCUGGACACUGAUUUAGUCUUCAUUUAAAUUAUUUUCCAUUUGAUAAUAUAAAACGUAAAAUUGUAACUGAUAUGUGAUAGUUGUAGAAUAUGUGUGUUUCCGAAAAGCAAUAAAUUUGUGAUAAGUAGAUAUGAUGGGCAUUGUACGACUCUUUGGGAGUAUCCACAUUGUGAAGACAAACUAUCGUUGCGAACAUGCAGUGGUAGUUUACCUUCAUAAUGUAGCUCUGCAUAAUAUUAGAUGGUUGUCAAUUAAUUGUAAUUGUGAAGUAAGCAACAUAAACAGUAGCAUUAUUAGAUAUAUUGAACCCUUUCAAACGGGUUCACGUUUUACAAUUGUCAAUUAUACUAAAGGUCUCAAUACCCACAACUAAGAUAUUAUGCCGGAUUGACAUAUAUCACCGAAUUUACCUGAAAAUUGUUUUGCAUUGAAACAACAAUUAUUAUUAUUGUUUGGCUUGAUGGCGUAUCCUUUUAGAUUUCGCCAAUGACGAGUGUAUAUUAAUCAACUCUGCUAUAUAUGGCUUCGUGAAUAAACAAGGUCAUUAGAAACUAAGAAAUUUGUUACUGCUGAGAUUAUUCGCCGCAAAGAAGACUGUUGAUGUAUCUAAAACAAAAAAGACACACACAAUUCUAAUUUGAAUUGACAGUGACAGUAUUAGAAAACCUUAGGUACCUGUUUUUUGUUUGAAAAUGACACUAGCCGUAGUCAUUGAAAAUAAUAUGAAAUUCACUCAUGUCAUAGAUAAAUCCUCACUUAUUGUCACAUUUGUGUCAAAUUGAUUGGACCAGAUUACAUGACUUUUGAUUCUAGAUUUUGUGAUAUAUAUAUUAUGAUUGAAAAAUGUUUAUGUAUCUUUACCGUUUGUUUACUUUGAAUGCUACAUUUAUGUUGCGAGAGACUUCGAAGUCAGUAUAAAUUUGUAAUAAGUUCUUCCGGUUAGAUUUCUUAUAUCAUAUUCUCUGUCUCAAAUUACUUAUAAGAGUUAUAACUGUAGAAAAAAUACUCGUACUUUCAGAUAAGCUUAUCGACCAUUUUGAUGAUAUAUCGUGUAAUAAUAAGUUUCAGCAUAAAUUAUCGGUCAAGUAGAAGAGACGUCGCCGGAAUACUCAUUGUGAAACAUUAAUUAUUGUUGUAUAGAUGAUAAAUAAUGUGACUUACGCAGGGAUGGAUACUUAAAUUAUUUAACUGAUAUAUUGGCUAUGUAGUGAGUAGAAUAUUUUUUUACAAAUAAAUUAUAGCAGCUA